UCGAACCCUGCAAAGCAGAACGACCCGUGAACACGUAAAAACAACCGAGUGUCGAUUGGACUAAGCACUAGUGUUUGAUCCUCUCGACGCUUUGCCGAUGCGCAUCUACUCGUGUUCUUUUGGACCUUGUGGAUGCGUCGUUGGCGCAAUAACAACCCCCGGCACAAUGUGUGCCAAGGAAAACUAAACUUAAGAAGGCUCGUUUCAUGUUGCCCCGUUCGCGGUGUGCUCGUGGGAUGUGGCUUCUUUAUAAAUCGCGUCGCCCCCCACAUUUCUCUGUCAAGAGACUUGUGUUUUGGGGGCGGAUAUUGGUCUCCCGUGCUCACGGUGUGGUUGGCCAAAAUAGGAGUCCCUUCGAUGGACGCACGAACUAGUGGUGGUCGUAAAAACCCUCGUCUUUUGUUCUGUGCCGUUACUCGCAAGGGAAAGCUCUUCAAGUACCCUAACGUGUUGUCUUUCGAUGACGCUUCGACAG
rnacentral:rRNA from 1 species